AGGGGUAUAGCUCAGUUGGUAGAGUGCUUGUCUAACAUGCACAAGGACCUGGGUUCAAUCCCUAGCACCACCG
rfam:Ictidomys tridecemlineatus contig010360, whole genome shotgun sequence.